rnacentral:rRNA from 1 species
UUGUGGAAAGUGCAGGUUCCUGCGAAAAUCAAAGUAUUUCUUUGGCUGAUGAAUAAGAAAAGCAUUGUAUCUAAAGAUUCUUUGAUUAGAAGAGGGUGGAGAGGAUCUAAGGAAUGUGUACUUUGUGGUAGAGAGGAGCAGAUAGAUCACCUGUUAUUUACUUGUUCGGCGGCGACAUUGUUAUGGAGCUUACUAGAAUGUGCUUUUGUACUAAGAACCACUCCCACUUCAGCUGAGGAAUGCUUUGGGAUUCGGAUCAAAACUUCUAGGAAAACAGACCACAAAUUAGUUCUGGUAGGGUUGUCGGCUAUGUUCUAG